GACAGAGGGUGCAAACGUUGUUCGGAAUUACUGGGCGUAAAGCGCGUGUAGGCGGCUGCGUAAGUCGGGCGUGAAAUCCCACGGCUCAACUGUGGAAGAGCACUCGAAACUGCGUAGCUAGAGUCCUGGAGAGGAAGGUGGAAUACUUGGUGUAGAGGUGAAAUUCGUAGAUAUCAAGUGGAACACCAGUGGCGAAGGCGGCCUUCUGGACAGUGACUGACGCUGAGACGCGAAAGCGUGGGGAGCAAACAGG
rnacentral:rRNA from 1 species